rnacentral:rRNA from 1 species
GACGAACGCUGGCGGCGUGCUUAACACAUGCAAGUCGAACGGAAAGGCCCUGCUUUUGUGGGGUGCUCGAGUGGCGAACGGGUCAGUAACACGUGAGUAACCUGCCCUUGACUUUGGGAUAACUUCAGGAAACUGGGGCUAAUACCGGAUAGGAGCUCCUGCUGCAUGGUGGGGGUUGGAAAGUUUCGGCGGUUGGGGAUGGACUCGCGGCUUAUCAGCUUGUUGGUGGGGUAGUGGCUUACCAAGGCUUUGACGGGUAGCCGGCCUGAGAGGGUGACCGGCCACAUUGGGACUGAGAUACGGCCCAGACUCCUACGGGAGGCAGCAGUGGGGAAUAUUGCACAAUGGGCGGAAGCCUGAUGCAGCAACGCCGCGUGCGGGAUGACGGCCUUCGGGUUGUAACCCGCUUUCGCCUGUGACGAAGCGUGAGUGACGGUAAUGGGUAAAGAAGCACCGGCUAACUACGUG